rnacentral:rRNA from 1 species
UACGUAGGGGGCAAGCGUUGUCCGGAUUUAUUGGGCGUAAAGAGCGUGUAGGCGGCCAGGUAGGUCCGUUGUGAAAACUCGAGGCUCAACCUCGAGACGCCGAUGGAAACCAUCUGGCUAGAGUCCGGAAGAGGAGAGUGGAAUUCCCGGUGUAGCGGUGAAAUGCGCAGAUAUCAGGAGGAACACCGGUGGCGAAGGCGGUUCUCUGGGCCUUACCUGACGCUGAGGAGCGAAAGCGUGGGGAGCAAACAGG